rnacentral:lncRNA from 1 species
CCUUUUAAAAGAGCAUCUUUAUUAUUUCCCCAGGCCGAUCACAGCCCUGAACAAAAGCAUCCGAUACACAUUUGUCAGUCUGGUGGCUUUGGUGCCAUGACUGCCUACACAGGCUGAUGACAGCCACUCGGUUGUCACCAGACGCGGUGUGAGGGAAGGGGGAGGGGACAGGGGAACUCUCAGAGCAAACAAUCACAAACACACUGUGAAAUCGAAAAUAAAUUACAAAAACUAAAUAGUAUAAAUAAAUUAAAAUUUAAGUUAAGAAGAGUCCCACAGUGUGGCUGUUUGGCAACAACCAGUCCAUAGAAGAGGUAGCUGUGGAGGUCACACGCAUGUUCCCAAGGCUCAGGCUCCUGCUCCUCCCCACUGGGCCCACCGAGGUCGCUGGGCCUCGAAGCUUCUGGACCCCUCAGGCACUCAGCUCCAGGUCGCUGACAUAUUUCUGGACCCACUCCUCACUGGGGUCAGCACAGACCUGCCGGCUUCGCUUGGUUAGGAAGCUGUGGAGAAGGGAGGAAGAGUUAAGCACUGGGGAAUCCAGCAGGGGAAUCCUGGGCCCACCAUGGCCCCACCAUUCUGCUCUCUGUCCUGGGCAGCUCAGGGCUUGCUCCUCUUUCAGGGGCCCCCUGCCUAUCUCUGUCUAGAGAGCUUCUCUCAGUGACUCAGUAGGGGUGGCCCUCAGAGUGUCCCGCUGCCUCCUUCUUCCUGUCCCUUUCCUCUGGGCUGGGGCAGCCCUUCCUGACUCUGUAACACAUGCCUCACUCCAGCUCCAAGUCAGGUCACACCUCGGAGCCCUGCGUCCUGUAUCCCCGAUAGGCUCCUGAAGGCUGGGCCUUUCCAGGAUAGCCUUCUGGCCUGUCUCUGCCCCAACCCUGACCCUCCCUACCUCCAUAGAGGUGAGCAGGAAGACUGGCACUUACAUGACACCGGGCUUGGAGCACUGGCUGCUCGUCUCAAAGUAGUCAGCUAUGAAAUUCUGUGGAAUCUGCCGGGAGGUGUAGCUGAAGCAGCAGGCGGUCGGCGUGUCAGCAGCAACUGUGGAGAAAGGAAGAGAAUGAGCCCGAGUCACAGCUCAGAAGAAAAGGCCAGGCAGCUUCUGAUCCCCGAGCAGUUGAGGAAGGCAGGCUUGCUCAGACCAAGUGACUGGAAGGCAUUUGGGCAUUUUUGCUGAGAAAUGUCUCUUUGUUUCUGUCUGUAUCCUUCUUUCUCCUUGACUCUUCAUAGUGGGUUCUCUGUUUCUCUGUGUGAUCCAGAUACCUGAACGGACUGUUCUCUUAUCUCAGUUCUCUUCAGGGAAUUUUGUCUGGUUCAAGAAGUCAUACCCCAACCCAAGAGAAGCCUUGGACAUCUCUCAUAAGACAUCCAAGGGACAGAGCUCCUGGGAGACCUAGAGUGAGCUGGAGAGUGAACAACAUACCCCACUGGGAAGUAAGCAGCCCUGGAUUCUGCCUCUUGCUAACUGAUUCGUUUCGAACCCUGUUUUUCUAUCUGUAAAAGGGACUGUAACUCCCCUGCCCCUGCCUAGAUUCUCAUACCUGGAGACUAGGGGGCUAAGACCCCUUCUAGAGAUAAAAAUAAAAGUCUUAAAGAGAAAGACCAAGAUGUUUGGCAGCCCUUUAAGAAGUUCUCUUUUCUCUUGGGGGCUUUUAGGCCACAAGAAAAGAUUGAUGUGGUCUAACCAUGGCCAGAGAGUGGUGAUACCCACAACGAAACUCAGACUCACGUGAUGCAGAGAACUGGUUGCAGAGAGCCAUGGUGCAGAGGAGGACAGCAAGGGCAGCAGUGGAGACCUGCAUGAUUCUGAGCAGGUGACGGAAUGUGGGCUCGAGUGUCAGCAGAGCCAAGAAAGGACUGACCACUGUCUGCUGCCCGUGUCCUUCUGAAGUCUGAAACCAGCUCUCCUCUUUAUAGGCAGCCCUGGCGGAUGGGGAAAUGGAAUCUGGGGGUGAGGAGGGAAAUUUUUAAGCGUAGUGAUGCUGUCAUGCUAAGUUGCACAACUCAGGGUCCCUGGUGACCACAGGGGCUCAGGAUAUCCAAGAAUAGCAUCUUUGAGCUAUUCUCUAACUCUCAGCUCUCAACUCAUGACUUGUUAUAGUUUCAUAGGGAAAUGGUUUCUCCUGUGAGUGUGAAGAGGGGUAUAUGUCAACCCAAGGCUAUUCUUAGUCAGUCCCUUCUCAUAAGAACUGGUCUGUGCAUGAACUCUCCAGCCC